GACAGAGGGUGCAAACGUUGUUCGGAAUUACUGGGCGUAAAGCGUGUGUAGGCGGUCUGUAAAGUCGGAUGUGAAAGCCCCGGGCUCAACCUGGGAAGUGCAUUCGAUACUGACAGACUAGAGUAUCGGAGAGGUCGGUGGAAUUCUCGGUGGAGAGGUGAAAUUCGUAGAUAUCGAGGGGAACACCAGUGGCGAAGGCGGCCGACUGGACGAAUACUGACGCUGAGACACGAAAGCGUGGGGAGCAAACAGG
rnacentral:rRNA from 1 species